UACGUAGGGUGCAAGCGUUGUCCGGAAUUAUUGGGCGUAAAGAGCGUGUAGGCGGUUCGGUAGGUCCGUUGUGAAAACUCGAGGCUCAACCUCGAGACGCCGAUGGAAACCAUCGAACUAGAGUCCGGAAGAGGAGAGUGGAAUUCCUGGUGUAGCGGUGGAAUGCGCAGAUAUCAGGAGGAACACCCGUAGCGAAGGCGGCACUCUGGGCCGAUACUGACACUGAGGAGCGAAAGCGUGGGGAGCGAACAGG
rnacentral:rRNA from 1 species